UACGUAGGGUGCGAGCGUUGCCCGGAUUUAUUGGGCGUAAAGGGCGCGUAGGCGGUCACGCACGUCCGUUGUGAAAUCGCUCGGCUCAACUGGGCGGGGUCAGCGGAUACGGCGUGGCUGGAGCAAGCUAGGGGGCAAUGGAAUUCCCGGUGUAGUGGUGGAAUGCGUAGAUAUCGGGAGGAACACCAGUGGCGAAGGCGGCUGCCUGGAGCUUUGCUGACGCUGAUGCGCGAAAGCGUGGGGAGCGAUCCGG
rnacentral:rRNA from 1 species